rnacentral:rRNA from 1 species
UACGAAGGGGACUAGCGUUGUUCGGAUUUACUGGGCGUAAAGCGCGCGUAGGCGGAUCGCUAAGUCAGGGGUGAAAUCCCAGGGCUCAACCCUGGAACUGCCUUUGAUACUGACGAUCUGGAGAUCGGGAGAGGUUGGUGGAAUUCCGAGUGUAGAGGUGAAAUUCGUAGAUAUUCGGAGGAACACCAGAAGCGAAGGCGGCCAACUGGCCCGAUACUGACGCUGAGGUGCGAAAGCGUGGGGAGCAAACAGG